rnacentral:misc_RNA from 1 species
UGAAAGGCGAAACGUAAUGUGAAUCGCAACUAACAGUGAAUCAUCGAAUCUUUGAACGCAGGCCGCGCUUAGUGAUAUCACCUCGUGGUAUCACUAUGCAUCUACGUAUGAGUGUCAGCCCAAUAUCCUUUUGGUUCAUGAGGAACAUUAUCCUCUUGAAUAUCACUUUGUGGUUAAUGAUACUGUCUGGCCUCAUAUGUGGAAGGUUACCCGCUGGAUUUAA